rnacentral:rRNA from 1 species
CAACGGGUUGAUAUUCCCGUACCAGUGAAGAACCGCCCAUGCUGAGCCGGUGAUACUAACCGCCCGAACCAUCCCGAUCCUCGUCUUUGACGGGGUCGGUGGUGGGGAGCGCGGGACCUGAACCGGGGAGGCAAGCGCAUUAACAGGUGUGACGCAGGAAGGUAGCCGGGCCGGGCAAUGGAAAUGACCUGGUCUAAGGGUGUAGGGCUGCCGGUAGGUAAAUCCGCCGGCUGUAUGCCUGAGACCUGAUGGGCGCCCACAUGGUGGGUGAUCCGGUGAUCCUAUGCUGCCUAGAAAAGCAUCGGCGCGAGGUUCAAACUGCCCGUACCCUAAACCGACACAGGUGGUCAGGUAGAGAAUACUAAGGCGAUCGAGAGAAUCAUGGUUAAGGAACUCGGCAAAAUGCCCCCGUAACUUCGGGAGAAGGGGGGCCCCAACCUUGAGCACCACGUGCUGGUGUGAGGGGAUCGGGGCCGCAGAGACCAGGGGGAAGCGACUGUUUAUCAAAAACACAGGUCCAUGCGAAGUCGUAAGACGAUGUAUAUGGACUGACUCCUGCCCGGUGCUGGAAGGUUAAGGGGACCUGUUAGCUUCGGCGAAGCGGAGAACUUAAGCCCCAGUAAACGGCGGUGGUAACUAUAACCAUCCUAAGGUAGCGAAAUUCCUUGUCGGGUAAGUUCCGACCUGCACGAAUGGAGUAACGACUUCCCCGCUGUCUCAACCAUGAACUCGGCGAAAUUGCAUUACGAGUAAAGAUGCUCGUUACGCGCAGAAGGACGGAAAGACCCCGUGACCUUUACUAUAGUUUGGUAUUGGUAUUCGGUGUGACUUGUGUAGGAUAGGUGGGAGACUGUGAAGCGGGCACGCCAGUGUUCGUGGAGUCGCCGUUGAAAUACCACUCUGGUCACUCUGGAUAUCUAACUUCGGCCCGUGAUCCGGGUCAGGGACAGUGCCUGAUGGGUAGUUUAACUGGGGCGGUUGCCUCCUAAAAUGUAACGGAGGCGCCCAAAGGUUCCCUCAGCCUGGUUGGCAAUCAGGUGUCGAGUGCAAGUGCACAAGGGAGC